rnacentral:rRNA from 1 species
AGCUCCAAUAGCGUAUAUUAAAGUUGUUGUGGUUAAAAAGCUCGUAGUUGGAUCUCAACAGCCUUGAAGCGGUUAACUUUGUAGUUUUACUGCUUUGUAGUGCUCUUGAUCGAGUGUCUCUGGAUGCCAGCAGGUUUACUUUGAAAAAAUUAGAGUGCUCAAAGCAGGCUAAAAUGCCUGAAUAUUCGUGCAUGGAAUAAUAGAAUAGGAUGUCGAUCCUAUUUUGUUGGUUUUCGGGACUCGACAUAAUGAUAAAUAGGGACAGUCGGGGGCAUUUGUAUUCAAACGACAGAGGUGAAAUUCUUGGACCGUUUGAAGACAAACUACUGCGAAAGCAUUUGCCAAGAAUGUUUUCA